rnacentral:rRNA from 1 species
GGCUUCCCACGGAUUAUGGGUUAUGACCGUUGGAUCGGGCUUUGAUCGAACGGCUCUGAAUACCUAUCUUAUCUCUCCCCAUCUCUCCCUCUCCUUAUCUCCUCUCGUUUCUCCUCCGCCGCACAAACCCAUCUUGCACGCAGCUGCCAUCGCCCCUCCUCUCGCUUGCCUCGCCGCCGCUACUCCUCUUGCUAGCCUCGCCGUCGACACUCCUCCUCUGGCUCGCCUCGCCACCACUGCUCCUCCUCUCGGCCAAGCUGGUCCUCGUCCCUUCUUUUCUCGUCCUCCUCUCCACCUCUUCCUCUCUUCCUUCCUCGUGAGUAGUAGCAGCGGAGCAGCAAGUAGCAGCAGUUGGGAGUAACUGCGGCGGCAAGCAGCGGCGGAGGAGCAGCAGCAGCAGCGAGCAGCAGCGGCGGAGUAGCAGCAGCGAGCAGCAAGUGGCAGAAGUAGGGAGCAGCAGCAGUGGAGGAGCAGCGGCGGCAAGCAGCAGCGGAGCAGGAGCAGCAGUCCACCACGGCGACGGUCGUGCCGACGCUUUUUUCUUUCAAGUAUCCUUGCGCAGUACAAGCAUCAAGAUAAUUGAUUCUUGCCUUAAGGAACACACGUACACAGCUCCUGAAUCUGGUUCUUUUCGUUUAUUGUACACAUGCGCACACACAAAACCGGUGUAUUGCCACAAGUUCGAAUCGGGCUUGCUUAUUUUCGUUUAUUCUUGUCACUUUCAAUGUUUACAGAGGGAUAUACAUACGUGUACAUAUACCGCUGGUGGCCCACAACUGCCCUCGGUUUAGGUUUAUGUAUAAACCGGGCAGCUCACGAGUCACGACAGCCCUCGGUUUAUAUAUAAACUGGGCGGCGCAUCGCGGCUCUCGGUUUAUGUAUAAACCGGGCUGCUCACCUCG